rnacentral:rRNA from 1 species
GACGAACGCUGGCGGCGUGCUUAACACAUGCAAGUCGAACGGAAAGGCCCAGCUUUUGUGGGGUGCUCGAGUGGCGAAGGGGUGAGUAACACGUGAGUAACCUGCCCUUGACUUGGGGAUAACUUCAGGAAACUGGGGCUAAUACCGGAUAGGAGCUCCUGCUGCAUGGUGGGGGUUGGAAAGUUUCGGCGGUUGGGGAUGGACUCGCGGCUUAUCAGCUUGUUGGUGGGGUAGUGGCUUACGAAUGCUUCGACGGGUAGCCGGCCUGAGAGGGUGACCGGCCCCAUUCGGCCUGAGGUACGGCCCAGACUCCUACGUGAGGCAGCAGCGGAGAAUAUUGCACACUGUGCCGAGGCCUGGUGCAGCAACGCCGCGUGCGGGAUGACGGCCUUCGGGUUGUAAGCCGCUUUCGCCUGUGACGAGGCGUGAGUGACGGUACUGGAUAAAGAAGCACCGGCUAACUACGU